AUGGACAAACAUCUGUCUCAAUGUCUUAGCUGCAGAAAAAGCCUGAUAGGAACAAGGAGGAUAAAUGAAUGCAGUGCAGCUCAGAGGAGCCAGUCAUGUUUAUGCCUGCUUCAGUUCUAUGACCAGUGAAAUGAGGAUGAUGAUGCUUGUUCCUCACCAAAGGUCCAGCUAGCUCUGGAAGUUUAAGGAGGACAUUCUGAUACAUAUCAGGCGAGGUUUCUUUCACUAGUGG
ensembl:lncRNA